rnacentral:lncRNA from 1 species
CUCUCCACCAGUGCCCCCCACAGUUCACCUGGUCCUCACACAGGCCCUGCCCCACAGAGGCGACACCCUCACCUGUCUGUAGAGGAUCAAAGCACCCAGUCAAUGAAGCCGACAAGUGUGGCAGCCCUCUGGGCUAACAGGCCAGGGGAAGAACCUCAAUGGUGUCUUCUGGGGUCUGUGUCAGCACGCCUGGACCAGGUCAGAACAAUGGCCCCCACCGAUGUCUCAGUCUCCAGAGAGGACCCUCCUCUCACCAAGAUGCCCCCAGAGCCCACCAGGUAACACAUGCUGUGAGGAGGCGGCCCCGGGAGUCACAGAACUGCUGCAGAUCCCUGGAGGUCAAGGGCUGCAAGGGACUGGAGUUGCCAUCAGAGACCCACGGAUCUUGCUCUUGGCUGUAUUGUGGGGAAGAACACGUCUGUGUCACUGUUUCCAAAGGAAACUCAGCUAGAUUCAAGCUCACGCAGGAAGAGCGCUGAGUGAGAGGCAGCCGGCCACAGGCCCCGUGCUACUUGCAGCAUUUUUACUCGCCUUGUUUCCUCAUCACGGCAAUUUGACGAGGUUGCUUCGGUUCACAUUGUCUAUGGUGAGUGACUGAGAUGACGUCCCUGAGGCCGCCCAGCUGGAAACAGCCACGAGUCAAGCCCAGGCCUGGUUCCAAGUUCAGCUCUUCCUCAUGUGGAAAGAACCGUUUCACCCCAGCUGCUGGGGCACCCGCCCUCUGCUUCUUCACUUGGUGGUGUUUUUAUUUAUGAACAGCCUUAAAGCCUUUUCGUAAGCUAGUUAUAUAUAAAUCACACGAAAAUGAAAUGUUCCCUCAAGAAACAGGUGACCUGGCUGAGUCCACGACGUAACUAG